rnacentral:rRNA from 1 species
GACGAGGGGUCCAAGCGUUGUUCGGAAUUAUUGGGCGUAAAGCGGGUGUAGGUGGCUCUGUAAGUCUGUCGUGAAAUCCCCCGGGCUCAACCUGGGAAUUGCGAUGGAGACUGCAAGGCUAGAAUCUGGCAGAGGGGGGUAGAAUUCCACGUGUAGCAGUGAAAUGCGUAGAGAUGUGGAGGAACACCGAUGGCGAAGGCAGCCCCCUGGGUCAAGAUUGACGCUCAUGCACGAAAGCGUGGGGGA